rnacentral:rRNA from 1 species
GUCGAGAAUAAUUCACAAUGGACGAAAGUCUGAUGGUGCAACGCCGCGUGGAGGAUGACGGUCUUCGGAUUGUAAACUCCUGUCAUCCGGGAGUAAGACCUGGCUGUGAAUAGCCGGCAGGGUUGAUAGUAUCGGAAGAGGAAGGGACGGCUAACUUCGUGCCAGCAGCCGCGGUAAUACGAAGGUCCCAAGCGUUGUUCGGAAUCACUGGGCGUAAAGGGAGCGUAGGCUGCGCGGUAAGUCAGGUGUGAAAUCCCGGGGCUCAACCCCGGAACUGCACCCGAUACUGCCGUGCUAGAGGGUUGGAGAGGUGACUGGAAUUCUCGGUGUAGCAGUGAAAUGCGUGGAUAUCGAGAGGAACACUCGUGGCGAAGGCGAGUCACUGGACAACAUCUGACGCUGAGGCUCGAAGGCCAGGGGAGCAAAAGGGAUUAGAAACCUCGGUAGUCC